GGCCUGAUGGUCUAGUAGUAUGAUUCCUUGUUAGGGUUUCGACUCAUAUCGAGGAGGUCCUGGGUUCAAUUCCCAGUUAGGCCC